rnacentral:rRNA from 1 species
AACGAACGCUGGCGGCAGGCUUAACACAUGCAAGUCGAACGCACCGCAAGGUGAGUGGCAGACGGGUGAGUAACACGUGGGGAUCUGCCCAAUGGUACGGAAUAGCUCCGGGAAACUGGGAUUAAUACCGUAUGUGCCCGCAAGGGGAAAGAUUUAUCGCCAUCGGAUGAACCCGCGUCAGAUUAGCUAGUUGGUGUGGUAAAGGCGCACCAAGGCGACGAUCUGUAGCUGGUCUGAGAGGAUGAUCAGCCACACUGGGACUGAGACACGGCCCAGACUCCUACGGGAGGCAGCAGUGGGGAAUAUUGGACAAUGGGCGCAAGCCUGAUCCAGCCAUGCCGCGUGAGUGAUGAAGGCCUUAGGGUUGUAAAGCUCUUUCGCCGACGAAGAUAAUGACGGUAGUCGGAGAAGAAGCCCCGGCUAACUUCGUGCCAGCAGCCGCAGUAAGAC